rnacentral:rRNA from 1 species
UACGAAGGGGGCUAGCGUUGUUCGGAUUUACUGGGCGUAAAGCGCACGUAGGCGGAUAUUUAAGUCAGGGGUGAAAUCCCGGGGCUCAACCCCGGAACUGCCUCUGAUACUGGGUAUCUGGAGUCCGGAAGAGGUGAGUGGAAUUCCGAGUGUAGAGGUGAAAUUCGUAGAUAUUCGGAAGAACACCAGUGGCGAAGGCGACUUACUGGACACAUAUUGACGCUGAGGUGCGAAAGCGUGGGGAGCAAACAGG